AUCUUUGCGCUUGGGGCAAUGACGCAGCUAAUGAGGUUCUAACCGAGGCGCGUCUAUUGCUGGUUGAAAACUAUUUCCAAACCCCCUCUUAGGCCAUGGUUUAUCCUUGGCCUUUGAGAAUUUCUGGAAGGGCUCCCUUCGGGGUAAAGCC
rnacentral:snRNA from 1 species